GCCCUAGUAACGGCGAGUGAAGCGGCAACAGCUCAAAUUUGAAAUCUGGCGUCUUCGGCGUCCGAGUUGUAAUUUGCAGAGGGCGCUUUGGCAUUGGCAGCGGUCCAAGUUCCUUGGAACAGGACGUCACAGAGGGUGAGAAUCCCGUACGUGGUCGCUAGCCUUUACCGUGUAAAGCCCCUUCGACGAGUCGAGUUGUUUGGGAAUGCAGCUCUAAAUGGGAGGUAAAUUUCUUCUAAAGCUAAAUACUGGCCAGAGACCGAUAGCGCACAAGUAGAGUGAUCGAAAGAUGAAAAGCACUUUGGAAAGAGAGUUAAAAAGCACGUGAAAUUGUUGAAAGGGAAGCGCUUGCAGCCAGACUUGCCUGUAGUUGCUCAUCCGGGUUUCUACCCGGUGCACUCUUCUAUAGGCAGGCCAGCAUCAGUUUGGGCGGUUGGAUAAAGGUCUCUGUCAUGUACCUCCUCUCGGGGAGAACUUAUAGGGGAGACGACAUGCAACCAGCCCGGACUGAGGUCCGCGCAUCUGCUAGGAUGCUGGCGUAAUGGCUGUAAGCGGCCCGUCUUGAAACACGGACCAAGGAGUCUAACAUCUAUGCGAGUGUUUGGGUGUCAAGCCCGAACGCGUAAUGAAAGUGAACGGAGGUGGGAACCUUUCGGGGUGCACCAUCGACCGAUCCUGAUGUCUUCGGAUGGAUUUGAGUAAGAGCAUAGCUGUUGGGACCCGAAAGAUGGUGAACUAUGCUUGAAUAGGGUGAAGCCAGAGGAAACUCUGGUGGAGGCUCGCAGCGGUUCUGACGUGCAAAUCGAUCGUCAAAUUU
rnacentral:rRNA from 1 species